rnacentral:rRNA from 1 species
AAUAUUGCGAAAUGGAGAGAACUCUGACGCAGCGACGCAGCGUGAGCGAUGAAGGUCAUAGGAACGUAAAGCACUGUCCUUGGAGAAAAAGGUCUUCGGACUCGACGGCACCCAAGGAGUAUACACCGGCUAACUACGUGCCAGCAGCCGCGGUAAUACGGAGGGGGCGAGCGUUAUCCGGAAUUAUUGGGCGUAAAGGGUGCGUAGGCGGCUUUUUAAGUCAGAUGUGAAAGGCUACGGCUUAACCGUAGUUAGCAUUUGAAACUAAAAGGCUUGAGUGCAGGAGAGGAGAGUGGAAUUCCUAGUGUAGCGGUGAAAUGCGUAGAUAUUAGGAGGAACACCAGUGGCGAAGGCGACUCUCUGGACUGCAACUGACGCUGAGGCACGAAAGCGUGGGGAGCGAAC